AUAACAUCAUUCCUUAAGUUAAUAGUCAGUUUUUGAUCUUUAAUUUGGUUUAUCGAUACUUGAGUUGGGAGAUAUAUUAACCACUGGUUGUCAUGUUGUAAACUUCCGUAUGCUAAAAAUAGUUAAAGAAUGUUCACAGUUGUGCUUGAAAAAGAAAGGCAAAAACAGUUAAUUAGAAAAAUUAGAAGAAUAUAUUUGAUUGAUUAUUUCACAAAAUGCAUAUAUAGAAACUAAAAUGAAACUAAAGUUUGUGAUAGCUGGUGAUUACAAUUAUUAAUGUAACUUGCUUGCAAGUUGGGUUCAUUUAAAAGAUGUAAGGUCUUAUCUAAUAAAUUAUAAUAAAUAAAAAAAACAAUUAAAAACACCCGAUUUAAAUGUGAUUUUAUGGUCCUGCUGAUAACAUUUAUUAUUAAAUUUUAAAACUACUAAGGAUAAUAUAGACAUAUAAAAGUAUAAAUGUAUGAUGCAUCAACUUGUGAAUAUGACGUAUUUAGCCCUUAAUCUGUUGUUCUCAAAUACUUGCUUUUUGCCUUUUUCAUUUUUUUUGAACCUUGUAGAAAGUUAAUCAAACUAGACCGCAAUAAUUUUGAUUCAUUUGAUGAUUUGACGAUGGAUUAAUUUACUUUAUUAUUAUUAUUAUUAUUACUAGAAAAAUGUGGGGUUUCCUACAAAAGUUUCCUAGGACCAAAUUUUUUUCGCUACUUCCUACACAUUACUGAGGAAAUUCCGAGGAAAACAUGCUUCUGAUAAUUAAUUUGAAGUUCCUCGGAAAUUUGGAGGAAAUACCGAUGAAUUAUCCGUCUUCGGAAGUUUCUCGGAAGUUCCUAUACUUUUCCUACGAAAUUAAUGUAUAUUUAAUGUUCCUAGGUAGUUCCUCGGUAGUUUGUUUUUUACCAUUUUAUUAUUAUAAACAAAUGAUAUCAUUUUUUUAUAUAACAAAAAGCCUCACAUUUACGUUAGAAGCAUUUCAUUUAAGUGGUUUCUAGGAAGUUUCUUAGAAAUUGUGAGGGAUUUCCUUGGGAAUUUUCAAACCAAGGUUUCUCAUCAAAAUGUCAAACUUUUACCAAUUAUCCUAGGGUCCAAGUCAAUAAUUUAAUACACAUAAAAAAAACUUAUAAAGUUAACACAAUUAGACAAUUCCUAGAUAUAAUACAAGGAGCUCUUGCUCUUGUGGUUUUUGUUUUCAAUUUUGACCAAUAUUUCCUGCGCAUUGAACUGGAAUCAUCGCCUCUAAGCAUUGUCGAACCUCAUGGAAGUUGAUGUGGUGUAUGGUCUGUAAGCUCCUAUAUUCAUUUAUCUUAUUGUCUAAGUUUGGAAAUGUUAUUUGGGGGAAAUUAAGAGUUUGAUUUAUUUCGGUUUGUCUUGUAGUUUCAAUGUAGUUGAAAUGGAGAACCUCUAACCCCAUAGAAAAUCAACUACCUGAAGCAAUUUGGUUGCCUGAUGGGCCUUAAAAAUUAAAUCAAGGAAUGAUUUGGUAGUGAAUGACUUAAGCUACCAUUUAUGUUGCAACAACCAAACAAGGGAUGGAUUGCCUUUAUGCUUGAAGUGUUAUUGGUAUAGAUGUCAGUCCAAACUUCAUCCAUCUAGUUUUCUGUAUAUAGUUUAUGCAAAUGUAAAAAUUACCUAUUUAAGGUGUGUAUUCUUAUAGCAUCCAGGAAUAAAUUUUGCAUGAAAGAUGCUCAAAAGAGUGUGUAGUGUUGGUUGUUAGUAAUGAAUUGAUCAAAAAACAUGGGAGAAAAGAAUCAUAUGAUACGAAAGGGUAAAAUAGUCAUUUUUAACAUUCAACUACUUAUAAUAUGCUCAGGUACAAGCUGAAGUUGAAACAAAUACUACAACAAAUUAAUCAAGUUGCAGCAAUGGUCUUCUUUACUUGACAAGGUAUCUUUUUGUCUUUAUUUACAUUCCACAUCCACCAAACAGGAAUGUACAAAGGAAUGAAAUCCAAUUCCAUUCCAUUUCAAUUCUUUUUUGGUUUUCAAGGGCAAUAGACUUCUUGGUGGAGCUAUUCUGUAAAUUAUACCAACAUCAAGGCUGGUCUAUGCAACAAGCUUGCAAUCUACCUAAUGAUCCUUACAUUAUUGUUGUAAACACUAGCUAGUACUUUUUAAAACCAUUAUCUUAUUUUUGUGUUUCAACAUUUAUAUUAUGUUUGUUUUUAAACCUCUGUUUUGAAGUUAUGUUGUAAUGAAGAAUAUUUCAGAUUUAUGUUUA